CUUUAGUCCACUUGCGCAUCGUACUUUAAAAAUUCUAAUAAUUUCUCAAAUGCUUCAAGUUGAAACGAUAGAACAAAAAAGCCUAGAUACUUCAACUCCACCUUAUCCUUACAAACGUAUGGAGUUCGCUGAAAACAAAACCUUCGUAACAGAGAAAUAUCGGAGUCGCUCGAGCAUUGUUCACGUUUGGAGUUGACAAAGCCGUUACUCAUUCCACCGCGACCAGUCUUCUUCACAAUGAUCUGAACUCUCGCAAUCGCAACAACCGAUUGAAUCUUCGAACCCUAGCUUGUACUUGUUCCCAUUUCAAUUUAGGUAAAUUCAUCUUUUGAUUUUCUUAUUUUCAGUUUUAUCUUUUUGUUUUCUUUUUGUGAACAAGGUGUUUGUUGAAAUUCCACAGUGAGUUUACUUAUGUUGAUUUUGAGUAUAACUCGUUUAUAAUUCUCGUAACAUGUUUGCAAAUAGAUAUUGUUUGUUGAGAAUGUCUGGUUUGUUGAGAAUGGGGUUUGGAGGUUGAACAUGGCUUGGAGUUAGUUAUAGGUUAGUUUGAUUCAAUUCAGUUAGUUAGAGUGAGUUGGAUAAAGGACUCAGUCAGUUAUUAGGUAUUUGACUGAUAGUUAGGAAAUUCUAUGAGCGAAGUUAGUUUGUGGGAUCAAUUAGAAUCAGUUAGGGAAGUUGGUUGGGACUGUUAGAGUUAAUUACAAGCUGUCUUAAGUCAAAUUGGGUGGUUUAUGAGGUAGUUUAUGUUAGUGCUUCCUAACUGAAGAAGAAGAAGAAGAAAAUGGAAAAGUAGAGAAAAAAGAUGAAUCAUCGGCGAAGAUGCUUUGUCUAGCGGAAGGGUUAUGGGAAGGUGCUGUUUUAAUAACGCCUUUCUUCUUCUUGGGCACUGCCAUGGUAGCGAUGAAAGAAGUGCUUCCUAAAUACGGUCCUUUCUUCGUUUCGUCUUUUCGUCUCAUUCCAGCUGGAUUCCUUCUUGUUGCUUUCGCUGCUUCCAGAGGAAGGCCUUUCCCCUCUGGCCUCAACGCAUGGCUUUCCAUUUCGCUCUUCGCCAUCAUCGAUGUUGCUUGCUUUCAGGUUUCUUUUAUCACUCAAUGUACAUUUGUUUGUUUACUCAUUUUCAAUUAUGUAAUUGCUGAUUUAUUGAUUGAUUGGUUUGUUUCUUUUGUAAUGAAACAGGGAUUUCUCGCCGAAGGGUUGCAGAAGACUUCAGCUGGUUUGGGCAGUGUAUGCCUGCACUUAAUUUCUUAGUCAAUUUUACUGUUACCAGUUUACUGCUACUACUGUAUUGUUGUUGCUGUUUUAUUUAGGUGUUUAUGUCUAGUUCAUAUAUCUUUGCUAGAGAUUAAAGUGUAGCCUUAUUUAGUGCACAUUGAAUGGCUGAGUUGUAUGUCGAAACGAGUGAAGUUAGUUUGUAAAGUGUUGUAUGUGUGUCAUAUUGAUAAUUGGAUUACAGGAAAAUUUGAUUUAACUUCAGUUUAUGUUGAUUUGGAUUUUAGAUUGCAGUGAGAGCAUGAAUUGUUGCUUUUUUUUACUAUCUAGCUUGGAUAUAUGGCAGGUUAUUAUUGAUUCACAACCUUUGACAGUGGUUGUACUUGCAGCUUUGUUAUUUGGUGAGUCCAUUGUAAUUAUUGGAGCUACUGGGCUUGUACUUAGUGUUGUAGGACUUGUGUUACUCGAGGUAUUUUAUUCAGGUAGACUCAGAAUUUGUGGAAGUAUUAGCAUUCAGGUAUCUAUCAUGUUUACAUGCAAGUAUAUUUCAUUUCAUUUUUAUUUAAUUUUUCUCGAGAAUUUUCAAAUUUGAUAACAAGAUAUUUAUGUUACCGACUAAUUUAAGACCUGCUGAGGUAUCUAACUCAUGCAUCCUGAAUUGGUCCGUCUGGCAAAGAGAGUUGAAUGUCUAGAACCAUUCACAUAGAUUUAAAUUAAUCCUAGUAUAUUUAUAAGGCUUAAUCUCAUCAAAGCAAUUGAAGUUUUAGCCAUUGGUCUAAUCCUCUUAGCCUAAAACAUCACAUGUUCUGUAGUUUUUAAUCAUUUCAUUAUGCAUGUUUCCAAUCAUAAUAUAUAUUAUUUGGAACCCUUGCCAUUACCAUGUUCUUGCUCAUAUAAUUUUGUGUAAUACGUGUAAUAUUAGUCACACGGGCUUUAGAAAUGAUUUGAAAAUUUGAAUAUUGGUAGUAAUCAACUUAUAUCUUUAGUUCUGAAUAUUUCUUUAAUGUUGUGAUUUUUCUAUUUUUCUAUUUCUUUAAUGUUCUGAAUAUUGGUAGUAAGAAAGAUAUAUGUACACAACCCACUGUUAGUCUAAUUUAUGUUUUUUCAUUUUUAUUUGUAAACAUUUAUUUUUAAGCCUGAAUAUUGGACAAAAUGUAAACUUUUAUUUGUAGGUUAUAUAAUUUGAAAUAUUAAUAGUUUUCUAGCUAUUUUUCAUCGAGUAAAUAAAUGUCAGAGGAACCAUAUUAUCAUUUUUCAUGUUUCUUUGAUGUUAUUGCGACAUUAUUUAGAUUUAAAGUAAUUUAGUGAUGGUAUUUUUAUUAUUAUUUUAAUGGUAAGCUUGUUCAAAUAGAAUAGGGAAAUUGUAAACUAUUAACAGUUAAGAGUACUUUCAUUAGCAGGGAGGAAGAUGAUGAGUCUCAGGUUAUUAUACUAUACUGUGACAUGGUGACUGAUGAGUUACAACAAUCAUGAAAAUCUCGGGAUGGUUUCUGACCGUAGUUUCAGUGCCUCUUCACACACCGACCCAGAGGUUAAUUACUGAACAAUAUAGCAGAAAUAUUGAGUUAAUGCAUUGAAUAUAAAGGUCAGUAUUUUUGUUUUGUUCUUACAUGCAUAAGUCGUAAUCAUUGCUUCCUCGACGUUAAGGUCAUUGCUUUAUUUACUAGUGUGAUAGUUAAUAUUAGGUGAGAGAGUUGAUAGUUAAGUUUUAGAACCAGAUUUGCUCAUCUUAUUUUAUCUUUUGUCAUUUUGUGAGAGCCCUUGUUUCAGUUGUUCACAUGUAAACUUGCGUUCGACGUUGACGAAAUCAUUCUCAUGGGUAACACUUCUGUCAAUGGCCUCCUACAGCAUUGAGAAGAUUAUACGACGCGGAAGAUAGUAUGAAAUUGUUUUCCGAGCUUUCUCAUCAUCGAAUUUGUAGUAUCAUCAAGGUGGGUGAAACCGAACCGGUGAUGGAUUUGAUUUGCUGCAUAUGCUGCCAAUCUUUUAUCAACAGAACCUCCAAACACUAUAUUGCUCCUUGUUGUUUGGUUUUUUUCUCUGUUCCUUGGUUGAUUGUUGAGUAUCCUUCUUUGAGGGAUAACUCUAGUUUUCAUAACUCGAGGGUAGUUAAGGAUUGGCUGUUCAUUGCAUUUUCGUGGUCUGUGAUUAAGGGUUAGAAUUGAAUAGAGUAAAUCAACUUUUUAGAAAGUUCUUAGAUGAAUGUAAUAGUCUCAAAGUUGGAAGCAUGUGCACACAAUGUUUUGUAGAUUGUCAUUGGAAAUACAAUCUUCUGUGCAUUAUUUUCA